CCCUUCGGGGUGAGCGGCGGACGGGUUAGUAACGCGUGGGAACGUGCCCUUCUCUAAGGAAUAGCCACUGGAAACGGUGAGUAAUACCUUACACGCCCCCCAAUCAAAUUCCAUUUGGUUGACGGAAAUUCUGUUGAAUGCCGGAUGGCAUUUGAUGGGGGGGAAAGAUUUAUCGGAGAAGGAUCGGCCCGCGUUAGAUUAGAUAGUUGGUGGGGUAAUGGCCUACCAAGUCUACGAUCUAUAGCUGGUUUUAGAGGAUGAUCAGCAACACUGGGACUGAGACACGGCCCAGACUCCUACGGGAGGCAGCAGUAGGGAAUCUUGGACAAUGGGCGCAAGCCUGAUCCAGCCAUGCCGCGUGAGUGAAGAAGGCCUUAGGGUCGUAAAGCUCUUUCGCCUGUGAUGAUAAUGACAGUAGCAGGUAAAGAAACCCCGGCUAACUCCGUGCCAGCAGCCGCGGUAAUACGGAGGGGGUUAGCGUUGUUCGGAAUUACUGGGCGUAAAGCGCGCGUAGGCGGAUUGGAAAGUUAGAGGUGAAAUCCCGGGGCUCAACCCCGGAACGGCCUUUAAAACUCCCAGUCUAGAGUUCGAGAGAGGUGAGUGGAAUUCCAAGUGUAGAGGUGAAAUUCGUAGAUAUUUGGAGGAACACC
rnacentral:rRNA from 1 species